AACGUCAGCUAUGCAAGGAGCCUACUUGCCACAGUAUGCACAUAUGCAGACGACAGCGGUUCCUGUUGAGGAGGCAAGUGGUCAACAGCAGGUGGCUGUCGAGACGUCUAAUGACCAUUCUCCAUAUACCUUUCAACCUAAUAAGUAACUGUGAGGUAUGAGGGAAAGGUCUUCAUAACUGGGGGGCUCAAAUCAAGCACAAUCUAUAGGGCUUUUUUUAAAAUCAGAAUGGUGAUUGGGAUAACUCGGAUUUUAUCAUACUGCUUUAAUCGUGGCCAAGGCAUCUAGUCUUGUUGAAAUAUUAAAAUCAGUGAUUUUAUGAAUUUAAGAUUAAUCAUUUUGUCUAAAGAGAAUGCUUUAUACUGAAGCCAAAUGUAUACUCUCCC
rnacentral:lncRNA from 1 species